UCAGAGGCGCAGGGAAGAGACAACCAGGAAGUGUUCUCCGACUGUGGUCGUUCCUCCGAGUAAUGCUUUUUCUAAAGUCAUUCGUCGCCACCUUAGGAAAAACUACAGCCUUUUUAGCAUCUUUGGUCGUCAUCGUUGCAGUUGUUUUGAAGUGUUUCGACGAUCCAGAGCCAGUACACCUCACCAGAAUGGCUGCGGCAGACAUAAAAACUCUGGAGGAAAAUUUCAGACAGCAGAAUAAGAGCUGCUUCGUCCUCGGUGCCUCUGGCGAAACUGGCAAGCUAUUGCUUCAAGAGUUGCUGGAGCGCAACAUCUUCUCCAAGAUAACCCUUAUUGGGAGGAGGCAGCUCACCUUUGAGGAUAAAGCAUAUGAAAACCUGGUUCAGGAAGUGGUGGACUUUGAGAAGCUUGAUGAUUAUGCAGCUGCUUUCCAGGGUCAUGAUGUUGGCUACUGCUGCCUGGGAACAACCAGGGCCAAAGCAGGGACUCAAGGUUUCAUUCGAGUUGACCAUGACUACGUAUUAAAGUCUGCCGAGCUUGCAAAAGCGGGAGGCUGCACACAAUUUCAUCUGGAGUCUUCGAGAGGAGCUGAUAAAGACAGCAGCUUCCUCUACCUCAAAGUGAAGGGACAAGUGGAAGCAGAUAUACAGGCACUGGAUUUUGACAGAUAUGCCAUUUACAGACCUGGGGUUUUGCUGGUGGACCGACAAGAAACUCGUCCUGGCGAGUGGCUAGCCAGGAAGUUCUUUGGUGCUGUUUCUGCGGUUUUCUCUACAUCCAUGUCCAUCCCAAUCCAAACAGUGGCCAAAGCAAUGGUGUCAAAUACUCUGCUUCAACCCGAACAGAAAGCUGAGAUCCUGGAGAACAAAGCUAUCGGCGCUCUGGGAAAGAGUGAUAAAAAGUAACUUUCAGGCUGUUUGUGCUCUGUUUUUGGUUCCUCAUGGUUGGUCACGUGAACAGUGGUAUCACGCAUAAAGGUGACAUCCAGGCAAGACAGGCUAAUGCAGGCUUCCAUAAAAGAUGGCCUCCACCUUCUAGAUUGACUACGAGUUACAGGAUGCCACCUUUGGGGAGACGACCAAGUGGCAACAUAUACCCUGCUAAAGGUGGAUCAAAAACUCUUAAUCCUGGCACACAGUCCAUGAACGUUCCCGAAGGCCCAUUGGAUCCUUUUCAAUCUAGUGUUAGCUCGUCCCAAGCUGGAAUACGUCAAAACCGACCUGCACAAAGAGUCUCAUUUUCUGAUGGCAAGUUCACACGAGCAGGUUCUGAUUCUAUAAUGCCCCCGGGUGGAGUGCCCCUCAAAGGCAAUGCCAACCAUUCCAAAAAGCAGGAAGUUCCAGUAGGUGUUUAUUCACGCAGCAGUGCAUCUCAUCCAAACAUUAGGCCCCUUCACGUCCGCAGCAAGGUGGGCUCUACAGUUAAGGGGAAAUCUGGAGGCAACCAGAUGUCUGCUCAAAGGCUAUUCAUCAGUGAUGGAAUGUCAGAAGCAACAGGAUACGCCCAAGUCCGCCGCCUCAGGCCUGGUUUUGACAGAACGCAACCCAACACUGGCUCUGCAAAUGGAAAGUUCUCGGAAACCAAUUUUCCAACCCAGAGCGAGCGCCGCAAUGAUUCAUCAAAGCCGAAUCUUAAAGUCUACUCCAUAGGACGCCAGCCCAUCAGUUGGCAUCCUCGACUAGCGCUCAAGCAAGUCAGAGUCCAAGGCAAGUUCAAACCUUUCCAAAGACGUUAUCCCCCGACUGGAGUCCAUCCAUCUGGGAGGCCAGAGACGUCGGCUCGUGAUGUAGGGUGGACAUCACGGCCUCCUUUUGUCAACGCAACUGCUUAUGCAACUGUUGGCCCUUCAACCACUGGAGAGAUAAAUACUACACCUUAUUUCAUGCACACGCAGCCUAUUCUACCUCAAUCAACAGAAUCUAAUUUUGAACGUAAACUACAUGUAGAUUCUACCCCAGAGCCAAAAGCAGAGCAAAGUGAAGAUGACCCCGUUGGCACCGUUGAUCAGGUUAUGUCUGGUUAUGAUUGCCAACACAUGGCAACGUCAACAUUAUUAUUACUUGUGAACUCGGUCAUUUAUAAUGUUAGCAUGUGAACUCAUGCUUUUGUUUUUAAUUAUUUUGCUGGUUUUUACAGUUGCCACUGAUUGGAAACCAACUCUGUUAUUACCUAUUUAAGCAGUAUUUGAGUGACCUUUUAAAUGAUUGAAAUGUAAUGCUCCAGUCCCUUGCUUUUUAAAUAAAACGCUUAGAUGAUUUUUAAACAGUGAUUGACCAGUGCAAUCACCUAUAAUCCAAAUGAGUGCAAUCGGUAUAGAAGAUGGAUGGGUGGACUUUUAAGCACAAGACCAGCCACCAAGACAAUUUGAGUUGUCCAAUUGAAAUCUUUUUUUUAACUUGAUGCCCAUGCCCCCAACAUACACACAUUUAGAAAAUGUUGUUCUUUUCCAAAUAAAUUGUAUUUAAUAAAUUAUUUCAUUUUCAUCAUCUUUUUUUUUGGAA